rnacentral:piRNA from 1 species
UCUCCUCCAACCUAAAAGGACCCUGGCCUU